AUUGAACGCUGGCGGCAGGCCAACACAUGCAAGUCGAGCGGAUGAAGGGAGCUUGCUCCUGGAUUCAGCGGCGGACGGGUGAGUAAUGCCUAGGAAUCUGCCUGGUAGUGGGGGAUAACGUCCGGAAACGGGCGCUAAUACCGCAUACGUCCUGAGGGAGAAAGUGGGGGAUCUUCGGACCUCACGCUAUCAGAUGAGCCUAGGUCGGAUUAGCUAGUUGGUGGGGUAAAGGCCUACCAAGGCGACGAUCCGUAACUGGUCUGAGAGGAUGAUCAGUCACACUGGAACUGAGACACGGUCCAGACUCCUACGGGAGGCAGCAGUGGGGAAUAUUGGACAAAGGGCGAAAGCCUGAUCCAGCCAUGCCGCGUGUGUGAAGAAGGUCUUCGGAUUGUAAAGCACUUUAAGUUGGGAGGAAGGGCAGUAAGUUAAUACCUUGCUGUUUUGACGUUACCAACAGAAUAAGCACCGGCUAACUUCGUG
rnacentral:rRNA from 1 species